GUCAGCGGUCAAAGCACCGAGGUAAUACCUGAUCUCAUUUCGAACUCAGAAGUUAAGCUCGGUUACGUUUUGGUGUGUACUUCGUCAUACGCGGGAAAGCCAAAAAGCUGCUGACA
rnacentral:rRNA from 1 species